AACAGAAGGCAUUGUGACAUAUCUCUGGUCCUAUCAUUUAUGUGACAUGACUCUCCUCUUCUGCCUGGACACUGCCCACAAGGGGCAUUGUGCCAUACAGUUGGGCAUAGCCCCGAAGUUAUGUUACUUUUCUGCCAGGAACUUGCCUACAAGGAGAACAUCAGAACAUUUCUGCCUCAGCAUAUAGGUUAUAUGGCUGUCAUGCCUUUCAUUACCACAGAGUAAGUUUUGACAUUUACCUAGGCACAGCUCACAGGCAUGAUAAUGACUCUCAUAUGUGGACCCCACAAGUAGGAGUAAUUUUGACUCUUGUAACUUGCUUUAGAAACAUAAGUGAUGUCUUAGAUCUCUUUCUGGCGAAAAGGUCACAGAAGAUUAUAACAGCCUCAGAUAAUUUGCAGCCCUUGGCUUGUACAGAGAGUGUCAGAACAGAACCCAGCAGAAAGGAGAAAUUGUGAGUCUCAUAUGUACACCCAGCUGACUGUAAGGACUGUCACCAUCUUACAUACAUGAAGCCAACUGUCACACAUGAAAAGAGGACAUGUGUGGUAUUGUAAAUCUCAUCUCGAAUAUUCUCUCAGUGUGACUGUGAUAUAAAUCUUUGCCAAGCAUCUGUGUGAUUUGACUCUCCAAACUGGUUCCAGCCCAUAUAUACGGGAUUGUGAUCUCUACCUGGGCCAACCUCUAGAUAAUGUGACUCUCCUGCCUGGGCCCUUCUCUCAGUAAGGGUUGUGACAUAUCACUGGAUCUAACACCCAAGUGAUGUUACAUUCUUGCCUGGACCAUGCACAGAGACAUCAUUGUGACAUAUCACUGUGUCCACCACUUAGGUGAUGUAACUCUCCUCUCUGGAAUGGACCCUGAAUACGGAGUGGUAGUGACAUCUUCCUAGGCCAGACACACAGGUGUUGGUACUCUUUUUCCAGGGCUAUGUUUCAAGGAGGGCAUUGUGACAUAUCUCUGGACCUAUCACCGAGGUGAUAUGAUUCAACGCUUGGGCCUCACCGACGUAGAACAUUGUGACAUAAAAGUUAAACCUGCACCAAAGGUGUUGUAACUCUUUCACCUUGGUCCUGUCCUAAGGGAGCCCUGCAACAUAUCUCAGGACCCAGCACUCAGGAACAUUGUGACAUCGUUGGACAUAGCAUCUAGGAAAUGUGACUCUUCUCUCCUGCCUAGGUCCUGCCCACUAAAGGAAUUGUGACAUACCACUGAGUGCAAAACCUAGCCCUGUCUACAGUGGACAUGGUACCACAUGACUUGAGGCUGUAUCCAGGUGAUGUGACUCUUCUGACUUGGCCCUGCCUGCAAAGGAAAUUAUAAUAUAUCCUGAGCUCAGAAUCCAGGCGAUGAGACUCUCCUGCCUCUUUUCUGCCCACAAGUGAAAUUGUGACUUAUACCUGCGUUCAGCUCACAUGCACAAAUAUAACUAUUAUACCUGGACCCAGAAAGGAGAGAUAUUUGGACUCUUAUAGCCAGUCCUAUGGCCAUAAGUAAAGUAAAGGGUCCCCUGUUUGUAUAAAGCUCACAGAGGAUUAUGACACUCAGGCACAUCAUAUAAAGCCUGAGUGGUACAAAGAGUGUCAUAGCAGGGAACAGCAACCAGGUGCGAUUGUGACUCUUGGAUGCUCACCCAGCUGACCCGAUUGUCAUUCUCUCACAAGAACAGGGCCUACAUACAAGAGCUGAUGGAGCAUCCAGAUGGAACAUAAACAGUGGACUUUUCUCACUCACUGAUAUCUGAGGACCCA
rnacentral:lncRNA from 1 species